rnacentral:rRNA from 1 species
UACAGAGGGGGCAAGCGUUGUUCGGAAUUACUGGGCGUAAAGGGCGCGUAGGCGGCCACCUAAGUCAGACGUGAAAUCCCUCGGCUCAACCUGGGAACUGCAUCCGAUACUGGAUGGCUUGAAUUCGGGAGAGGGAUGCAGAAUUCCAGGUGUAGCGGUGAAAUGCGUAGAUAUCUGGAGGAAUACCGGUGGCGAAGGCGGCAUCCUGGACCGACAUUGACGCUGAGGAGCGAAAGCCAGGGGAGCAAACGGG